CCGGCUCUUUGCCUUAGAAAUGGAGAUGAGCACCAACCCCCAGAGUGUGAGUAGAUCAAUAGGUACUGCUCCGGUGGGAAGGUAAUGGCACUCCAUGCAGUCAUGUCAGUGGCCACAUGACCUUGGAGGUGUCUACGGACAACGCCGGCUCUUUGGGCUUAGAAAUGGAGAUGAGCACCAACCCCCAGAGUGUGAGUAGAUCAACAGGUACUGCUCCGGCGGGAAGGUAACACUGGCGCUCCAUGCAAUCAUGUCAGUGGCCACAUGACUUUGGAGGUGUCUAUGGACAACGCCGGCUCUUCAGCUUAGAGAGGAAGAUGAGCGCCAUGGAUGUGCAAAUAGAUUUCUCCUUCUUC